GAGGGGCCUGCGUCCGAUUAGCUCGUUGGUGGGGUAACGGCUCACCAAGGCGACGAUCGGUAGGUGGUCUGAGAGGACGAUCACCCAGACUGGGACUGAGACACGGCCCAGACUCCUACGGGAGGCAGCAGUCGGGAAUUUUGCGCAAUGGACGAAAGUCUGACGCAGCAACGCCGCGUGAGGGAUGAAGGCCUUCGGGUUGUAAACCUCUUUUCUCAGGGACGAUGAUGACGGUACCUGAGGAAGAAGCCACGGCUAACUACGUGCCAGCAGCCGCGGUAAUACGUAGGUGGCGAGCGUUGUCCGGAUUUACUGGGCGUAAAGAGCGCGCAGGCGGUCGUGCAAGUCGCGUGUGAAAGCCCCCGGCUCAACUGGGGAGGGUCACGCGAUACUGCUCGACUCGAAGGCAGGAGAGGGAAGUGGAAUUCCCGGUGUAGUGGUGAAAUGCGUAGAUAUCGGGAGG
rnacentral:rRNA from 1 species